rnacentral:rRNA from 1 species
AUUGAACGCUGGCGGCAGGCCUAACACAUGCAAGUCGAGCGGAGCGGCGGACGGGGGAGUAAUACCUAGGAAUCUGCCUGGUAGUGGGGGAUAACGUCCGGUAACGGGCGCUAAUACCGCAUACUCUCAGCUGAGCCUAGGUCGGAUUAGCUAGUUGGUGGGGUAAAGGCAAACCAAGGCGACGAUCCGUAACUGGUCUGAGUGGAUGAUCAGCCACCCUUGAACUGGGACACGGUCCAGACUCCUACGGGAGGCAGCAGUUGUGAAUAUUGGACAAUGGGCGAAAGCCUGAUCCAGCCAUGCCGCGUGUGUGAAGAAGGUCUUCGGAUUGUAAAGCACUUUAAGCUGGGAGGCGUUACCAACAGAAGAAGCACCGGCUAACUUCGUGCCAGCAGCCGCGGUAAUAC